GCAGCAAUGACAACAACGACUAAACAAUCUCCAUUUAUUUAAACAAAAUGGAGAUGAGGGAAUGCAUGUCAGUUGAUAUUUUGGCCGUUCGUAUUCUUAUGGAAAUUAGGAUGUUUCGUGUCCCCUCACAACCUGUCGGAUCUGGAGAUUUAAUAAGAUCUUUUAAGCCAACAAAAUCACAUUGGAAUUAGAAUGUAAGUCAAAGUGAGUUAUCUGAGAGCAACAACAGAAACAUCCCAGCCCAAAAAGAUGCUGACAUGCAGCAAGCAGGAAUGCAGAAAAACCUCCAAAGUAUGUGUGGUGAUGAUGGACAUAGCCAGUAAGGGCAAGCUCAUCCCUGCAGACAGUCAGAGCUCGGGUGGAUGUGUAACUUCUUUGUGGCACCAGCCUGGUUAUUUGGUCCUGGAUAUAACCACAUGCUGCGCAGGAACCUAAGGUUGUAGUUUCAUUAAAUUUGCAGAAUAAAUCUUUUCUUCCAGGAGCUGUUUGGCUGCAAGUAACGUUGCACUGGAGUUCCUCACAUGAGCAUCUCCCAGUUCAGGAACUGUCUCAGGACAUGGAUCGGGAUCGCUGAUUUCACUGGAACUUCAGCAAAGCUACAGCACAUACGGCUGGGACAGGGACACUUCCUCGCCCAGAGCACGUGGGUCAUUCUCCACUGCUCAGGGAGUAUUGGAAGAAAGAAAGUGAUAAGGCCAAAAAAUAUCAAGAGGAAAAUGUUCUUGUAAAUUGAGUAGCAGGAAGACUGAUUCACCAAUGCAGUAAGAAAGUCUACAAGACAAUAGUGUUCCUCUUUGCAUAUUGUAUUCUCAGCUACAGGUCAUUUCUCCCAGCUGCUAAAGAGCUAAACCUCAGAGCCUUUCGUCUGCUCUGGGCACAGCUGCCUGGGGACUCAUUUUGGAGUUAGCAGAAUUGAGGGUGAUGAGAAAGGCAUCCUACCUUCUUACCCGGGCAGAAGAUGGCACAGGCAUCGCAGCACCGCCCGAGCCCCACAGGAAGCCCGUGGCAGAGCUGAGCUGAGAUGUGAGCUCCUGCGAGCAAGGGCCGCUAACCUCCCGUCCAGCAAGCACUGAACAAUCCCAUUUAAAAAUGUUUCUUCCUAAGAGCGAAAAAACGCAGAUCGAGAUCCGGAAAUAAAAGCCACCGGAGCACGCUGCACCACAGGCUCUCCUUUGACAUUGGGCAAGUCACUUCUCAUCUCAGAAACUUAGUUCCCCAAUUGUGAGAUAGAGACAGCAAUGCUGCCCUGACUCACGUUACUGGAAGAUAAAUGCAGUAAUAAACAUGAACUGCCACAAUUCUGUGGUAACGGGACCCCUCCUGAGUACAGAAAAUUGCCAUUUCCUUCAGUUUCCCUGUAGUAAGUCUGCACAAUCACAUGCUAUCCUAUUGUGCUAUCAGGUAAUUUUGUAGCAAUUUCCUCUCCUAAGAUAUUUGACUUCACUGUAAGUCUGUUUAAUAGCCUAUAGAUAUUAACAUGAUCCCUUAUUUACAAUAAUGGGGCCUUGUAGCUACUGUAGCUUACAGAUGCAAUUUAUUACAGGAUGUUACCACAGUCCGCAGGCUACCAGAAAACAUUAUGUCUGGUUGUUACAAAUGCCAUUUUCCUUGUUGAGAUAAUAAAAUAACCCUUUAAAUGAUCGGGAUUUUUCCUUCUUCUGAAUGUCUGUGAAAAUUAAUCUUACUUUAAAAGCUUCCUUUUCCCUUGUGGUAAUAAGAACCUCCAUAUAUCUUGUUUUUAAAGUCGUGCCCUCGAAAAAAACACGUCAUGUUUAUGGACUCAAAUCUAUUUGUUCCUGUAGCUUCAUCUGGAGUCAACAGGUGUCUGGGGGACUUGGAUGCAAUCUGCAGAGAGACGACAGUUCGCGGGACCAAGCUGUAUCGCCCUGUGUGAGAGCUGCAGGUCUCGAAACCCCCACCACUUUGCCUGUCUUCCAAGCUGCUCAUCACCUGACACUGACUUCUCAUUUUGGUAUUCUUGCACUCUUCAUGACAUUUCAAAACUAAGAACAAACGCCUCCAGAAAGCCUCGGGAUUUGGAAAGAGCAGGAGGGUUCAGCGUACAGGAGGAGGUAAUACCAUUUAACCUAAACUGCUCAUAACAAAUCUUCUAUAUUAGGCAAUACUAUGUUUUUUUCAAAAAGAGAACCAAACUCAUUUGUCAGUCCCGUUGUUCCUGAAACCACCACAGCAGCGCAACUGCUGAAACAUUUCCCCAUUCUUGUUCCCUUGACACACUGCACAGAAACUUGACGUGCUUUUAUUUUCUAUCAUCCUGAUGCCCACGACUGACCCGGACCCCUUGUGUCAGACGCCACGCAGGCGCACAGUCCUCGUGCAGAUGUGCACUGAGAAUUCCUGCCACUUCUUCUGACACAUGCAUGCAAAAACCUCAGCCCAGAGGCUGCUUCUAGCCACCACGUACCAGCAGGGCUUAGACUUAGCUGCCCCUGUCUCAAAUCUCUCUGGGCUGCAGCUUAUGUGACCUGCUGUGGCAAACUCUGCUCUCACAGAGCCCCUUUCAGCCCAGCAACAGAGCGGCAGGUUCAGGAACUACCCACCUUGGCAAGCAGUCCCGCUGCAGCCCAGCAGGACUGGCCCUGCACUUUUCAUUCUUCUCGCAUGAAGAUGCAGGGCAGAUUUGGCUUGGCUCUUCUUUCUCAUUUGAUUAGAAACAGCUCUAAAUGAGGCCGUGAACUUAAGGCACGCAAUUUAUCUAGGGAAGUCCAGGAUAAGGCUCCCAGGGGUCCUUCCCUCAGCGCUGGCUUGCUCAGCUAAUAGGAAGAGAUGAGCCAAACCCAAGCUGUGUCCCCAUUUAAGGAGGAAGGCAAGCACUCAGGAUCUUGCCCUGCGCCCAUCGGUGCCUAAAUGAAACCCUGAAAAGCCUGGCUAGGAGCAGCUCCAGCUACUUGAGGGGUGCCAAACAGCUGUGGGGCCGUCUGUCAGCCCCUCUAGCAGCAGGUGGGCAGCCGGUCUGCUACAAUGCAGUUUUAGCCUUUAAAUGCCAAAAACUACUAGCACAUAUCCUGCUUCCGCCCAAAGUUUUACUCUGUUUGCCUUGUCACAGGAUGUCCUGCCCCCAUAUUUUUUUUGACAAUAGCACUGUCAAAAUAUUUACUGGCUGAAAUAUUUAUGAUAUAUAAUAUACUCUAAAAUGCAGCAGCUGUCUCUUCUUCAUAGCAUUUAACCUUCCCGAAGAUAUCUGGAGAAGUCCUUUUGAAAGGAAUGGGCUGGAGGGAAGAGUGAAAAAUGCAGGAAUGUGUGUCACUGAGGGCCUUUAUUCAAGGGAGUUA